rnacentral:rRNA from 1 species
AUUGAACGCUGGCGGCAGGCCUAACACAUGCAAGUCGAACGAGAGGCGGACGGGUGAGUAAUGUCUGGGAAACUGCCUGAUGGAGGGGGAUAACUAUUGGAAACGGUAGCUAAUACCGCAUAACAUCAGAUGUGCCCAGAUGGGAGUAGCUAGUUGGUGGGGUAACGGCUCACCAAGGCGACGAUCCCUAGCUGGUCUGAGAGGAUGACCUGCCACACUGGAAAUGAGACACGGUCCAGACUCCUACGGGAGGCAUCAGUGUGGAAUAUUGCACAAUAGGCGCAAGCCUGAUGCAGCCAUGCCGCGUGUAUGAAGAAGGCCUUCGGGUUGUAAAGUACUUUCAGCGGGGAAGCGUUACCCGCAGAAGAAGCACCAGCUAACUCCGUACCGGCAGCCGCGGUAAUAC